rnacentral:rRNA from 1 species
AAAGGUAAGCUACUAAGAGCGAAUGGUGGAUGCCUUGACUGGUAAAGGCGAUGAAGGACGUACUAGACUGCGAUAAGCUACGGGGAGCUGUCAAGAAGCUUUGAUCCGUAGAUUUCCGAAUGGGGCAACCCAAUGUAUAGAGAUAUACAUUACCUAUAUAGGAGCGAACGAGGGGAAUUGAAACAUCUUAGUACCCUCAGGAAAAGAAAUCAAUAGAGAUUGCGUCAGUAGCGGCGAGCGAAAGCGCAAGAGGGCAAACCCAGUGCUUGCACUGGGGGUUGUAGGACUGCA